rnacentral:rRNA from 1 species
GCAGCGAGGAGAAGCUUGCUUCUCUGUCGGCGAGUGGCGAACGGGUGAGUAUAGCAUCGGAACGUGCCAAGUAGUGGGGGAUAACCAAACGAAAGUUUGGCUAAUACCGCGUAAGCUCCAAGGAGGAAAGUAGGGGACCUAAAUAAGGCCUUACGCUAUUUGAUCGGCCGAUGUCGGAUUAGCUAGUUGGUGGGGUAAUGGCUCACCAAGGCAAUGAUCCGUAGCGGGUCUGAGAGGACGAUCCGCCACACUGGGACUGAGACACGGCCCAGACUCCUACGGGAGGCAGCAGUGGGGAAUUUUGGACAAUGGGGGAAACCCUGACCCAGCCAUGCCGCGUGUAUGAAGAAGGCCUUAGGGUUGUAAAGUACUUUUGUUAGGGAAGAAAAGCUAGUUUUUAAUAAAAAUUAGUGAUGACGGUACCUAAAGAAUAAGCACCGGCUAACUACGUGCCAGCAGCCGCGGUAAUACGUAGGGUGCAAGCGUUAAUCGGAAUUAUUGGGCGUAAAGCGAGUGCAGACGGUUACUUAAGCCAGAUGUGAAAUCCCCAAGCUUGACUUGGGACGUGCAUUUGGAACUGGGUGACUAGAGUGUGUCGGAGGGAGGUAGAAUUCCACAUGUAGCGGUGGAAUGCGUAGAGAUGUGGAGGAAUACCGAUGGCGAAGGCAGCCUCCUGGGAUAACACUGACGUUGAGGCUCGAAAGCGUGGGGAGCAA